CCCACUCUUACCUCUACCUCCCACCUCACUACUGCAAUCUCAAUCUCUUCGACGAUUGAAGACCGUUGAAGAACCAUGGCUCUCUGGCAUGAAGACCAAGUAAUUCUCCAAGUGUCUGCAGUGAAGUGUUUGGAUAGGUGGGAGCAUAAUGGCAUCACUUGGUUCCUUUCAGCAAAUGUGGUUUUCAAAAUCUGAGUUUGAGGAACAUGGAGCUUCUAAUGUUCAAAGAAAAUGCCCGUAAAGUACUUUACUGGUGCGGACAAUUAUCACAUUAGACAGAAAUUCAUGGAGUUGACUUCACUUUGAUUAGUUAGCUGACGGUAUGGGUUGCUCGGUUUUAAUAUCCUGCUUUAUAGGCGCCCAAACAAUGUACUAUAUAUAUAUACAUACUGUACCUCUCGC